GCUCCUCCUCCUCGCCGCCCCCAACCUCGCCCUCCUCGCCCUCCUCCUCUGGGAACCCCUCUCCAUCCUCCGCCGCAUCCCCCCCUCCCCAAAACCCUAGAAACCAAAACCAAACGAAGAGUAUCGUAAUUCCAAGCAGAACUUAAACCUAUGGAUGAUAAGAGUUAUAACAUCCUCAAAUGCCACGUACCUUGCUUGUGUAUUAAGGUAAAGAGGCCUGUGGCCAAACUUUUCAUUUUGGGGAAGUGAAAAAGGGGAACAAAUGUGACAUUCUAUCUGAUGAAUGGUUAAUUAAAAGAGGUGGAGAAUAAUGGAGAUCCGAAGCUGCACUUUGCUUGAAAACAAGCAAGAUUAUUAAGAAAAUAAUAAAAGGGUACAUGCAUCAUACAGCAACAAAUUUUCCAAUUUAUUCAAUCAAUAAGAGAAAUAAUGAAACUACAACUUGUGAUCUCUCUCUCUCUUUCUCUUUCUCUUUCUCUUUCUCUUGUGUGUCUUCUGUGGGCAAUUAAGAAUACAAGAACAUCUGUAUAUAUAUAUAUAUUUUUAAAAUUUCCUUUCAUUA